rfam:Felis catus isolate Cinnamon breed Abyssinian chromosome B3, whole genome shotgun sequence.
GCCCGGGUGGCUCAGUCGGUUGAGCGUCCGACUUCGGCUCAGGUCAUGAUCUCGUGGUCCGUGGGUUCGAGCUCCGCGUCGGGCU